UGGGGAAUAUUGCGCAAUGGGCGAAAGCCUGACGCAGCGACGCCGCGUGAGGGAUGAAGGUUUUCGGAUCGUAAACCUCUGUCAGAAGGGAAGAAACCGCACUGUGCUAAUCAGCAGUGCCUUGACGGUACCUUCAAAGGAAGCACCGGCUAACUCCGUGCCAGCAGCCGCGGUAAUACGGAGGGUGCAAGCGUUAAUCGGAAUUACUGGGCGUAAAGCGCACGUAGGCUGCUUUGUAAGUCAGGGGUGAAAUCCCACGGCUCAACCGUGGAACUGCCUUUGAUACUGCUUAGCUUGAAUCCGGGAGAGGGUGGCGGAAUUCCAGGUGUAGGAGUGAAAUCCGUAGAUAUCUGGAGGAACAUCAGUGCGAAGGCGGCCACCUGGACCGGUAUUGACGCUGAGGUGCGAAAGCGUGGGGAGCAAACAGG
rnacentral:rRNA from 1 species